AGUAAUGUAUGGGGAUCUGCCCGAUAGAGGGGGAUAACUACUGGAAACGGUGGCUAAUACCGCAUAAUGUCUACGGACCAAAGCAGGGGCUCUUCGGACCUUGCACUAUCGGAUGAACCCAUAUGGGAUUAGCUAGUAGGUGGGGUAAAGGCUUACCUAGGCGACGAUCUCUAGCUGGUCUGAGAGGAUGAUCAGCCACACUGGGACUGAGACACGGCCCAG
rnacentral:rRNA from 1 species